GUAGAUAAAAACACAAGGACUCGCUGUUGACCACCACACAGGUUACUAUCACCAGCUCUUCCCAGGUCAAGAAGGAACCUUUCCAGUCCAACACCAAUCAAGAUGAACAACACCAUCUUUGUCGUUCUCGCCGUCCUGGCUCUGAUCGCCGCUGCCAGUGCUACGUCAUUCUCCAGCUGUCUCAGCAAAUUUGACAACUGGUACAACGAUUGUAAAAGAAGCUUGGGCCAACAGAAGUGUGACUUGACCAUGAGUGGAUUUGCUCCAGCUUGCUAUUACAGCUAAGUUCUUCAUGCUUCUUGUCCUGAGCCGACAUUAUGCCGCCAACUUCAGAAUAAAUCUACUGCAUAAUUC